GAGAGAUCAGAAAUACAAGAGGCAGAGGAAGCAAGGUUAAGGAGGAUUAAGAAAAUUAAAGCACAGCAUAGACAAAGAUAUUGAUUAUGACUGAGUUUUAGGUGUCAUAUUUAUUAUUUUUGUAUUGCAAUCCCACCAAAUUUACUUGACAACAUGUUAUAAGAGUUGGCUACAUGCAUGUACAGUAAAUACACUUUAUUCAAUUUUGUGUAGUUUUUCUAGCAAUCUAAUUUUUAUAGAGUAGCUGUCAUUCUUAUAUUAA
rnacentral:lncRNA from 1 species